UACGUAGGGGGCAAGCGUUAUCCGGAUUUACUGGGCGUAAAGAGCAUGUAGGCGGCUUAAUAAGUCGAGCGUGAGAAUGCGGGGCUCAACCCCGUAUGGCGCUGGAAACUGUUAGGCUUGAGUGCAGGAGAGGAAAGGGGAAUUCCCAGUGUAGCGGUGAAAUGCGUAGAUAUCACGAAGAACUCCGAUUGCGAAGGCAGCCUGCUAAGCUGCAACUGACAUUGAGGCUCGAAAGUGUGGGUAUCAAACAGG
rnacentral:rRNA from 1 species